rnacentral:rRNA from 1 species
UAUGUGAUCGUCUCUUGCAUAUCAAUAAGCGGAGGAAAAGAAACUAACAAGGAUUCCCCUAGUAACGGCGAGUGAAGCGGGAAGAGCUCAAAUUUGAAAUCUUAAAGGGUUUCCCUUUACGAAUUGUAGUUUAAAGAAGUGUUUUCUGUUGAGGUUUUGGUAAAAGUUCUUUGGAAUAGGACAUCAUAGAGGGUGAGAAUCCCGUAUUUGACCUUUACUUUCAACUUUGUGAUACACUUUCAAAGAGUCGGAUUGUUUGGGAAUGCAGUCCAAAAUGGGUGGUAAAUUUCAUCUAAAGCUAAAUAUUGGCGAGAGACCGAUAGCGAACAAGUACCGCUGAGGGAAAGAUGAAAAGAACUUUGAAAAGAGAGUUAAACAGUACGUGAAAUUGUCAAAAGGGAAGCGUUUGACACCAGUGUUGUUUUUCUGAAAAUCAAUUAAAGAACUGUUUAUGCUAAGCUGUUUAGACUUUAUCAGCUAUCUGUUUAGUUUUGAGCUUUUCUUUAAUGCACUUUUCAGUUAACAAGUCAACAUCAAUUUCUUUUGCUGUAAAAAGCUUGAGGAAGGUGGCUUGAGAUUCGUCUUAAGUGUUUAUAGCCUCUUGCCUAUGCAGUCGGAGAGAUUGAGGUCUGCAGCGUAGAUCCUUCGGGGCUAAAUGCAUUUGUGCUAAGUUAUAGCAUUUUAUAGACAACUUGUUGACUAUGAUUUGUCUUGUAGCUUACUCGCUUAUGUUAUUUUACCUACGCUUAGGAUGUUGAGCGCAUGUCUCUCUCU